UAGAGUUUGAUCCUGGCUCAGGAUGAACGCUAGCGGCAGGCCUAACACAUGCAAGUCGAGGGGUAGAAGGAGCUUGCUCCUUUGAGACCGGCGCACGGGUGCGUAACGCGUAUGCAACCUACCUUCCACAGGGGAAUAGCCCAGAGAAAUUUGGAUUAAUGCCCCAUGGCACAGCGAGAUGGCAUCGUCUUGCUGUUAAAGUAACAACGGUGGAAGAUGGGCAUGCGUCCCAUUAGCUAGUUGGUAAGGUAACGGCUUACCAAGGCUAUGAUGGGUAGGGGUCCUGAGAGGGAGAUCCCCCACACUGGUACUGAGACACGGACCAGACUCCUACGGGAGGCAGCAGUGAGGAAUAUUGGUCAAUGGUCGCAAGACUGAACCAGCCAUGCCGCGUGCAGGAUGACGGUCCUAUGGAUUGUAAACUGCUUUUGUACGGGAAGAAACACUCCUACGUGUAGGAGCUUGACGGUACCGUAAGAAUAAGGAUCGGCUAACUCCGUGCCAGCAGCCGCGGUAAUACGGAGGAUCCAAGCGUUAUCCGGAAUCAUUGGGUUUAAAGGGUCCGUAGGCGGCCCUGUAAGUCAGCGGUGAAAUCUUCCAGCUCAACUGGGAAACUGCCGUUGAUACUGCAGGGCUUGAAUCGCCGGGAAGUAACUAGAAUAUGUAGUGUAGCGGUGAAAUGCUUAGAUAUUACAUGGAAUACCGAUUGCGAAGGCAGGUUACUACCGGCGUAUUGACGCUGAUGGACGAAAGCGUGGGGAGCGAACAGGAUUAGAUACCCUGGUAGUCCACGCCGUAAACGAUGGAUACUAGCUGUUCGGCGCAAGCUGAGUGGCUAAGCGAAAGUGAUAAGUAUCCCAUCCUGGGGAG
rnacentral:rRNA from 1 species